CUGAACUCAGCUUUACUGCACUUUUGAACAGUAAGAGUAGUAAGGAGUUUCUCAAAGACAUUAAGAAUGAACUUCUAAUACAGACCCCAACUUCCUGGGAAAUACUUACUGUGCACCUAUGUCCAUAACUAAUUUUUAGACGUACAUGAAUGGUAGAAGUCAGUACCAAAUGAUAUGGUAAGAAUUCAAGGAAAUUUACAACCUGUGGCUGAUCUGCAGAUAUCGCAGAUUGUUACUUGAGAAAGCUGCCACGUCAAAGAAAACUAUAGAUUGCACCAUCCACACUAUAUUAAAGCUCAGCAUGAUAUAGCAAAGUCUCCAGAACUGCUGCUCACGAAAUGGACUCCGUGGAAGCUACAGCUCGCUAUAGUUGCGCCAGACAGCUCGAAAUUCCUCACGGAAUGUGUUAAGGCGAGCCUUCAGAUUAGGUGUCCUAAAGCUUGCAUGAAGAAGAGUGGAAAGAAGCCCUAUAGCCAAUGCCCAUAAGACAGUUAAGAGGCCACAUGAAGCAAACCAAAGGAAGAAACUCGCUAGAGAGAAUAUUAAGACAAACACCCAACGAGGCCUUCCACAAAUGAAAAUUGCUCGUUUAGCAGAUGGACGCCCUCGAAUAACAGGCGUGAGUGGAGGCCUCAUUUUUGCAGCUAAAUGAGGAGAAAACUGCCUGACAGUUCUUGUCACCUUCUCACUGAAAGUGCCUGCGAAACUAUCAUUUAGGAAAGCAAUACUGAGAGUGGUCAAAAAAGCAGCAACAAUAGCAAGUGGCCUCCUAAGAAACCCCAGUGCAAGAAUAGCCACAAUCAUAAUGAAGUAAUUUGUCCGGUAGUAGUAAAGAUUGCACUUGACUCGACUAUUCCAUUUGGAUGAAGAUCGGGGGAAAGUAAAUCGGGAGAAGAAUUCAGAUGGCGGACGCGGCGGAGAUGACCAGUCGACCUCGCGUAGAGCCUCGAUCAGAUCUUCUGUGGUUACGGUGCCCCAAUCCAUUUUUCGCCUUUGAUUGAUUCACGAGAAAUCCUGUUGAAAUUUUCGUGCAAGAGAAUUUUUUUCAGAAAGGAGAAGGAAAAAAAAAUGAUCGGAGAAUUAAUUUUCGAA
rnacentral:misc_RNA from 1 species